rnacentral:rRNA from 1 species
CAAUAGCGUAUAUUAAAGUUGUUGCAGUUAAAAAGCUCGUAGUUGGAUUUCUGUCAAGUACAACUGGUCCGCCCUCCGGGUGAGCACAUAGUUUGGUCUUGGCAUCUUGCUGGAAAUUGUUGCUGCACUUGGCUGUGUGGCGCAGUGUCCAGCACUUUCACUUUGAGGAAAUUGGAGUGUUUCAAGCAGGCAAUGCCUUUGAACACAGUAGCAUGGAAUAAUUAGAUUGGGCUUUUGCUCCAAUUUGUCGGUUUCUGGAGCUGAGGUGAGAAUUAAUGGGGAUUGUUGGGGGCAUCCGAAUUUAGCCGUCAGAGGUGAAAUUCUUGGAUCGGCUAAAGACGGACUACUGCGAAAGCAUUUGCCAAGGAUGUUUUCAUUGA